UAGGGAAUAUUGGGCAAUGGUCGCAAGACUGACCCAGCCAUGCCGCGUGCAGGAAGACGGCCCUCUGGGUUGUAAACUGCUUUUAUCUGGGAAGAAAAAGUCCAUGCGUGGAAAAUUGCCGGUACCAGAUGAAUAAGCACCGGCUAACUCCGUGCCAGCAGCCGCGGUAAUACGGAGGGUGCAAGCGUUGUCCGGAUUUAUUGGGUUUAAAGGGUGCGUAGGCGGCUGAAUAAGUCAGCGGUGAAAGACUUCGGCUUAACCGGAGCAGUGCCGUUGAUACUGUUUAGCUUGAGUGUUGGAGGGGUACAUGGAAUUGAUGGUGUAGCGGUGAAAUGCAUAGAUACCAUCAGGAACACCGAUAGCGAAGGCAUUGUACUGGCCAACAACUGACGCUGAGGCACGAAAGUGUGGGGAUCGAACAGGAUUAGAUAUCCCUGGUAGUCCACCACUGUAAACGAUGAUUACUCGCUGUUAUGGUGUAUGCUGUAGCGGCCAAGCGAAAGCGUAAGUAAUCC
rnacentral:rRNA from 1 species